UACGGAAGGCAGCAGUGGGGAAUAUUGCACAAUGGGCGCAAGCCUGAUGCAGCCAUGCCGCGUGUAUGAAGAAGGCCUUCGGGUUGUAAAGUACUUUCAGUCGUGAGGAAGGUGUUAAGGUUAAUAACCUUAGCAAUUGACGUUAGCGACAGAAGAAGCACCGGCUAACUCCGUGCCAGCAGCCGCGGUAAUACGGAGGGUGCGAGCGUUAAUCGGAAUUACUGGGCGUAAAGGGCACGCAGGCGGUUAAUUAAGUUGGAUGUGAAAUCCCCGGGGCUUAACCUGGGAAUGGCAUUCAAGACUGGUUAGCUAGAGUCUUGUAGAGGGGGUUAGAAUUCCAUGUGUAGCGGUGAAAUGCGUAGAGAUGUGGAGGAAUACCGGUGGCGAAGGCGGCCCCUGGACAAAGACCUGACGCUCAUGUGCGAAAGCGUGGGGA
rnacentral:rRNA from 1 species